AACGGUCUAUACCUGCGGUACCUGCGGAGGGAUCAUUACCGAGUGAGGGCCCUCUGGGUCCAACCUCCCACCCGUGUUUAUCGUACCUUGUUGCUUCGGCGGGCCCGCCGCAAGGCCGCCGGGGGGCUUCCGCCCCCGGGCCCGCGCCCGCCGAAGACACCUGUGAACGCUGUAUGAAGAUUGCAGUCUGAGCGAAAAGCUAAAUUUAUUAAAACUUUUAGCAACGGAUCUCUAGAUCGG
rnacentral:misc_RNA from 1 species